GAUGAACGCUGGCGGCGUGCUUAACACAUGCAAGUCGAACGAAGCAUUUAGGACAGAUUACUUCGGUUUGAAGUUCUUUAUGACUGAGUGGCGGACGGGUGAGUAACGCGUGGGUAACCUGCCUUGUACUGGGGGAUAGCAGCUGGAAACGGCUGGUAAUACCGCAUAAGCGCACAAUGUUGCAUGACAUGGUGUGAAAAACUCCGGUGGUAUAAGAUGGACCCGCGUCUGAUUAGCUAGUUGGUGAGAUAACAGCCCACCAAGGCGACGAUCAGUAGCCGACCUGAGAGGGUGACCGGCCACAUUGGGACUGAGACACGGCCCAGACUCCUACGGGAGGCAGCAGUGGGGAAUAUUGCACAAUGGAGGAAAAUCUGAUGCAGCGACGCCGCGUGAGUGAAGAAGUAAUUCGUUAUGUAAAGCUCUAUCAGCAGGGAAGAUAGUGACGGUACCUGACUAAGAAGCUCCGGCUAAAUACGUG
rnacentral:rRNA from 1 species